AGUGCUUGUGUUCCUGAGUGUAGGUUCUGAGCUAUUAGGUUACUACAGACUACAGAGAUACAACGUGAAAUCUCCACCUCUUUAUGGUGAGGGUCUCUCCCGUAUGUACCCUCAGCCCACAGGAGAGAGAGGUACAUGGGAUGGCACAUGUGGCACAACUGGACUCCUUUGGGCUUCAGUGAUCCAACCUCUCAUCACAGUGGACAUUGGCUGAGCACAUCUGAUGUCCUCAUUAUCCAAGUUGGCCUGGGGAGGAAUUGCUGCCUAAGGAUGCCAGUGGAAACAUUAUUUUUGAUACUGUGGAUCUUCGUGACACAUGGGAGGCCCUGGAGAAGUGCAAAGAAGCAGGUUUAACCAAGUCCAUCGGGGUGUCCAAUUUCAAUCACAAACUGCUGGAACUCAUCCUCAACAAGCCAGGGCUCAAGUACAAGCCCACCUGCAACCAGGAUGGACCCAGAUAGCCCAUAUCUCUUAGAGGAGCCAACCUUGAAAUCCAUUGCCAAGAAAUACAAUAGAAGCCCAGGCCAGGUUGCCCUGUGCUAUGAGCUGCAGCGGGGGGGUGGUGGUCCUGGCCAAGAGCUUCUCUGAGAAGAGAAUCAAAGAGAACUUCCAGGUUUUUGACUUUGAGUUGACUCCAGAGGACAUGAAAGCCACUGAUGGCCUCAACAGAAAUUUCCGAUAUGCUAAGUUACAAUUACUUUGAUAUCUGAAGGUGGAAACCAUCCCUUUUCCCUCUGGAGCUGGAGUGAUGUUCACGGAAGGCAAAGCAGCUGGGCCUGAAUGGGGCUAAGCUCUGGGAGCCAUGAGUGUCUCCACAGAAACAGAGCAGGACACCCGGAGGGACCACCCAAAACCUUGGGUCCGUUUGUGAGGCCAUCAGAUCCUCAGCUGGCAUUUGACAAGGAGGAUCAAGGUUGCAACAGCCUAAAGAAGUUUAAUUUCAAGAAAACAGGCUGAAAGAAUGAGAGUUGUGACCAACUCAGUAUACCACUGGAGGCUAUAUGAGCAAACAGAAAACUGUUCUUAUGAAAGCAGGAUGUUGGAAAACUGAUAACUGUGUCUGCCGCCAGAAGGGGUGCUGAGGGCAGUCAGGCCUCAUGCACAGUGUUCCUUGUGAUUAUCUAUAGGAACAUCUGAAGCCUGUUGUACAAAGAAAGCAAUUAUGUGGACCUGUGAUAAAUCAAGCAGUGGACCAACCAUUAGCUCUCCCUCCCUGCUCUUUCUACCUAACAAAUAUGAAAGACUGUAGAAACUCAGGGCUGCCUUUGCUCUCUAGAAGCAAGGAGCCCCUGACCCCCUCUUUCAAAAUAGGUCUUUUCGUCUUUGUCUUUACUUCUGCAUUCGACCCCCUUCAUUGACCCUGUAGAAACUGUCAGUGACAUUCUCUUUUCCCUUGUAUUUUCUAAAUUUUCUAUAAUUUGCAUGUUAUUUUAAUAAUUAGUGAGGGCAUCAAAGAAGUGGAUUUACAAUGGUGCAAACAUUGGCAGUUUCAGUUAGGAACUCAUAUUCCUGUUGGGUCAGAGAUUGAGCCCUGGAGGAAACCUCUGGUCUGAGGGCUACAGGGAAGCUCCUGUUUCAUGCCUAUUCCUGAAAUUAGGCCUGUCCCUCUGAUUUAGGGAAGAUUUAUUCCUCUGUUUGUCUGCAUACUACAGAAACAGCCUGUGAAAGAAUCUGCAGGCAUCACUUACAAUUGUAACUUAGCAUAUUGGAAAUUUCUGUUGAGGACAUCAAUGGCUUUCAUGUCCUCUGGAGUCUACUCAACAAUUUUUCUUCAAAGUCUAAAGGAGAUUUUUUCUUCCAGCAUAAUAUUCCGUGCAGUGCA
rnacentral:lncRNA from 1 species